rfam:Arabis alpina cultivar Pajares chromosome 2, whole genome shotgun sequence.
GAAAAAGCAGGGCUUUGUUGCCUUUUUGUGAAUAAAGCUCUCGUAUAUGUCAGGGAAAUUACGGGCAUUGUUCUUGGGUGAACCUCUGUAGAAUUUAGUGACUAAUGGUUCAGUAAAUGAUGCCACAUUU